rnacentral:rRNA from 1 species
AGAGUUUGAUCCUGGCUCAGAACGAACGCUGGCGGCAGGCUUAACACAUGCAAGUCGAACGCGUGUAGCAAUACACGAGUGGCGCACGGGUGAGUAACACGUGGAUAUCUGCCUUUUGGUUCGGGAUAACCCUGGGAAACUAGGGCUAAUACCGAAUGGUUCCUACGGGAUAAAGAUUUAUCGCCAAAAGAUGAGUCCGCGUCCGAUUAGCUAGUUGGUGAGGUAACGGCUCACCAAGGCGACGAUCGGUAGCUGGUCUGAGAGGACGAUCAGCCACACUGGGACUGAGACACGGCCCAGACUCCUACGGGAGGCAGCAGUGGGGAAUAUUGGACAAUGGGGGCAACCCUGAUCCAGCCAUGCCGCGUGAGUGAUGAAGGCCUUCGGGUUGUAAAGCUCUUUUGGCGGGGAC